UGGGGAAUAUUGCACAAUGGGCGCAAGCCUGAUGCAGCAAUGCCGCGUGAGUGAAGACGGCCUUAGGGUUGUAAAACUCUUUCGCUAGGGAAGAUGAUGACGGUACCCGCAGAAGAAGCCCCGGCUAACUCCGUGCCAGCAGCCGCGGUAAUACGGAGGGGGCUAGCGUUGUUCGGAAUUACUGGGCGUAAAGGGCGUGUAGGCGGCCAAUUAAGUCAGAGGUGAAAUCCCCGAGCUCAACUUGGGAACUGCCUUUGAUACUGGUUGGCUAGAGUUCGGGAGAGGGUAGUGGAAUUCCCAGUGUAGAGGUGAAAUUCGUAGAUAUUGGGAAGAACACCAGUGGCGAAGGCGGCUACCUGGACCGAUACUGACGCUGAGGCGCGAAAGCGUGGGGAGCAAACAGGAUUAGAUACCCUGGUAGUCCACGCCGUAAACGAUGUCUGCUAGUCGUUGGGGAGCAUAGCUCUUCGGUGACGCAGCUAACGCAUUAAGCAUUCCGCCUGGGGAGUACGGUCGCAAGAUUAAAAGC
rnacentral:rRNA from 1 species